CGUACACGGUGUAUGCCCUGGCAGUCAGAGGCGUUGAAGGACGUGCUAAUCUGCGAAAAGCGCCGGCGAGGUGAUAUGAACCUUUGACCCGGCGAUGUCCGAAUGGGGAAACCCAGUGCAAUUCGUUGCACUAUCGUUAACUGAAUACAUAGGUUAACGAGGCGAACCGGGGGAACUGAAACAUCUAAGUACCCCGAGGAAAAGAAAUCAACCGAGAUUCCCUUAGUAGUGGCGAGCGAACGGGGACCAGCCCUUAAGUUGGUUUGAGAUUAGUGGAACGCUCUGGAAAGUGCGGCCAUAGUGGGUGAUAGCCCCGUACACGAAAAUCUCUUAUCAAUGAAAUCGAGUAGGACGGAGCACGAGAAACUUUGUCUGAAUAUGGGGGGACC
rnacentral:rRNA from 1 species